GGUCAAGCAAGAAAGAGCACAGGGUGAAUGCCUUGGCACUGGGAGCCGAUGAAAGACGUGGUAAGCUGCGAAAAGCUUCGGGGAGGCGCAAACAGCCAUCGAUCCGGAGAUUUCUGAAUGGGGAAACCUACUUGAGCAAACCUCAAGUAUCCAUACGUGAAUCCAUAGCGUAUGGAAGGGAACGUUGUGAACUGAAACAUCUAAGUAGCAAUAGGAGGAGAAAGAAAAAUCGAUUUCCUAAGUAGCGGCGAGCGAAAGGGAAAGAGGCCAAACCGAAGGACCUGGUUCUUCGGGGUUGUGGACUGCAUCAAGCGAUGGAGGCUAUGGUAGUCGAACUGUUUUGGGAAAGCAGACCAAAGACGGUGAAAGUCCGGUAGACGAAACCAGAAGACCCGCUGCAGGAUCCAGAGUACCACGGGACACGAGAAACCCUGUGGGAAGCCGGGGGGACCACCCCCCAAGCCUAAAUACUCCCCAGUGACCGAUAGUGAAGCAGUACUGUGAAGGAAAGGUGAAAAGAACCCCGGGAGGGGAGUGAAAAAGAACCUGAAACCUUGUGCUUACAAACAGUCAGAGGUCUACGGACUGAUGGCGUACUUUUUGUAGAACGGUCCGGCGAGUUACUAAUGCCAGCGAGGUUAAGUGGUCAGAAGCCACGGAGCCGAAGGGAAACCAAGUCUGAACAGGGCGUAAAGUUAGUAUUAGUAGACCCGAAACCGGGUGACCUAUCCAUGUCCAGGUUGAAGGAGCCGUAAAAGGCUUUGGAGGACCGAACACACAUCUGUUGAAAAAGGUGGUGAUGAGGUGUGGAUAGCGGAGAAAUUCCAAUCGAACUCGGAGAUAGCUGGUUCUCCUCGAAAUAGCUUUAGGGCUAGCCUCGAGAUGGAGUCUAACGGAGGUAAAGCACUGAACUGACGCGGGGCCCAAAAAGGUUACCAACUCAUAUCAAACUAAGAAUGCCGUCAAGAUACCCUCGGGAGUCAGUCUGCGUGAGAUAAGUCGCGUGGACAAAAGGGAAAGAGCCCAGACCGACAGCUAAGGUCCCAAAGUACGUGUUAAGUGGAAAAGGAUGUGGGAUUUCAUAGACAACUAGGAUGUUGGCUUAGAAGCAGCCAUACAUUUAAAGAGUGCGUAACAGCUCACUAGUCGAGAAAACCUGCGCCGAAAAUUUAACGGGGCUAAAACACGACACCGAAGCUACGGCUUGACAGCUAACGCUGUUAGGGGUAGAGGAGCAUCCUGCAAGGACGAAGCCAAAGUGGAAACGAUGGUGGACGAAACAGGAGAGAGAAUGCCGGAAUGAGUAGCGAGAUAGAAGUAAGAAACUUCUAGGCCGAAUAUCUAAGGUUUCCUGGGUAAAGCUAAUCUUCCCAGGGUUAGUCGGGGCCUAAGGCGAGGACGAAAGUCGUAGUCGAUGGAUAACAGGUUGAUAUUCCUGUACUACGUAUCAUCAGAACUGUGGGGACGCAGGAGGAUAGGAAAACCGGGGAAUGGAAAAACCCGGCUAAGCACAAAGUCAAGGGAGAUAGGCAAAUCCGUCUCUUGAUGAUGAAGUGCGAUGGGGACUGAACAAAAGUAGGGAAGUUUCCGAAUCCACACUGUCGAGAAAAGCCGCUAUUGUGUGAUACGUACCCGUACCGUAAACCGACACAGGUAGAUGAGGAGAAAAUCCACAGGCCGACGGGAGAAGUGUUGUUAAGGAACUCGGCAAAAUGACCCCGUAACUUAGGGAGAAGGGGAGCCACGCAAGUGGCCGCAGAAAAGAGGCUCAAGCGACUGUUUAGCAAAAACACAGGUCUCUGCGAAACCGAAAGGUGAAGUAUAGGGGCUGACACCUGCCCGGUGCUGGAAGGUUAAAAGGAGAGGUUCGACGUAAGUCAAAGCUUUGAAUUCAAGCCCCAGUAAACGGCGGCCGUAACUAUAACGGUCCUAAGGUAGCGAAAUUCCUUGUCAGGUAAGUUCUGACCCGCACGAAAGGUGUAACGAUUUGAGCACUGUCUCGACAACACGCCCGGUGAAAUUGAAGAACCAGUGAAGAUACUGGUUACCCGCAACAGGACGGAAAGACCCCAUGGAGCUUUACUGCAGCCUGAUACUGGGAUUCGAUGAUAUAUGUACAGGAUAGGAGGGAGACUAGGAAUCCGGGACGCCAGUUUCGGAGGAGUCGACGGUGGGAUACCUCUCUUAUGUUAUUGGAUUUCUAACUUGGCACCGU
rnacentral:rRNA from 1 species